rnacentral:lncRNA from 1 species
CAUAUAAUACAGCCUUACCUACCCCAGUGGACGGCCUCCUUCUACUUCAUUGGUCAUCACCUACCAUUUUAUACUUUACUUACCAAGCACUGUUAUUGACCAGAUCAAAUUAUUAGGUGAGACGAUCUGCAGCAUCACUGAACCCAUCACCAACAACCCUAUAGCUCCAAACCCCAAUUGGAUUAAUUUAUACUGAGGUCUUGCAGGACGGAUCUGGUGAUUCAAAGUAACAGUACCCUCUGUGUUUUUUCUUCUUUCUUUUCCGGAGUUCAUCCAAUUUAACAGGUCGGGUUAGGGUCUGUAAGCUUGAAAGAGAUCAUAGGUUUAGAAGAUUAGGAAGUGAUCGAUCUUACAGUGGUUGAUUUUUAGAGGUUUUCCGGCCUUGAUAAACAAAUUUGUUUCCCAUAUAAUCUAUGAUUAGUUUGAACAUUUCUGCUUACAAAAGUUGGUUUAAAC